ACACACACACACACACACACGCAUACAUUGCUGGAGGUAUGGAUGGACUAGUGCUGCUUCUUAAAUAAGUAAG